AAGUCGUAACAAGGUUUCCGUAGGUGAACCUGCGGAAGGAUCAUUAUUGAAUAAACCUGGCGUGGUUGUAGCUGGUCCUCUCGGGGACAUGUGCUCGCCCGUCAUCUUUAUAUCUCCACCUGUGCACCCUUUGUAGACCUGGACGAUAACUUUCCGAGGCAACUCGGUCGGGAGGACUGCUGGCUUUCACGAGUCGGCUUUCCUUGUAUUAUCCAGGCCUAUGUCUUACACAUACCCCAAAGAAUGUAACAGAAUGCAUUGUAUAUGGCCUAGUGCCUAUAAACUAUAUACAACUUUCAGCAACGGAUCUCUUGGCUCUC
rnacentral:misc_RNA from 1 species